CUGUCUUCUGCCUCGCUCGGCCAGCUUUCUACUCUAAGCUGAUCUUGAGCUGGAUACACUUUUGUGUACUAGACUAGAGUGAUUCCGACGACCUUUGAGUGCGGAACCUCCUCUUGCUAUAUGGUGGACCUUCGCAAUUUGUCUGUUGAUACAUGA
rnacentral:snoRNA from 1 species